rnacentral:rRNA from 1 species
CCUACGGGGGGCAGCAGUGAGGAAUAUUGGUCAAUGGACGGAAGUCUGAACCAGCCAUGCCGCGUGCAGGAAGACGGCUCUAUGAGUUGUAAACUGCGUUUGUACAAGGGUAAACCUGAAUACGUGUAUGCAGCUGAAAGUACUGUACGAAUAAGGAUCGGCUAACUCCGUGCCAGCAGCCGCGGUAAUACGGAGGAUCCAAGCGUUAGCCGGAUUUAUUGGGUUUAAAGGGUGCGUAGGCGGAUUGAUAAGUUAGAGGUGAAAUGUCCGAGCUUAACUCGGGAACUGCCUCUCAUACUGUUGAUCUAGCGCGUAGCUGCGGUAGGCGGCAUGUAUUGUGUAGCGGUGACAUUCUU